CAGCAGCCGCGGGAAUACGUAGGUGGCAAGCGUUGUCCGGAAUUAUUGGGCGUACAGGGCUCGCAGGCGGUUUCUUAAGUCUGAUGUGAAAGCCCCCGGCUCAACCGGGGAGGGUCAUUGGAAACUGGGAAACUCGAGUGCAGAAGAGGAGAGUGGAAUUCCACGUGUAGCGGUGAAAUGCGUAGAGAUGUGGAGGAACACCAGUGGCGAAGGCGACUCUCUGGUCUGUAACUGACGCUGAGGAGCGAAAGCGUGGGGAGCGAACAGGAUUAGAUACCCCGGUAGUCCCUGUCUCUUAUAA
rnacentral:rRNA from 1 species